UACGUAGGGGGCUAGCGUUGUCCGGAUUUAUUGGGCGUAAAGAGCUCGUAGGCGGUUUGUCACGUCUGCUGUGAAAACUGGAGGCUCAACCUCCAGCCUGCAGUGGGUACGGGCAGACUAGAGUGCGGUAGGGGAGAUUGGAAUUCCUGGUGUAGCGGUGAAAUGCGCAGAUAUCAGGAGGAACACCGGUGGCGAAGGCGGGUCUCUGGGCCGAUACUGACGCUGAGGAGCGAAAGCGUGGGGGAGCAAACAGG
rnacentral:rRNA from 1 species